rnacentral:rRNA from 1 species
CAACGUUAAUCGGCGCAGGGUGAGUCGGCCCCUAAGGCGAGGACGAAAGUCGUAGUCGAUGGGAAGCAGGUUAAUAUUCCUGCACCUCGCGUAAGUGCGAUGGAGGGACGGAGAAGGUUAGGUGUACCCGGCGUUGGUUGUCCGGGGGAAAGGCGGUAGGUUUGGAUCUUUGGCAAAUCCGGGAUCCUUCAAGACCGAGCACCGAGACGAG